GCCAGAGGAGCUGGGGCAGUCACGUGCCACUGCACUGCACAUGGGCAGGCAGGGCGAGCUGGGAGGCGUGGCAAACAGGAUCAACCAGCAGGAGGUGGAGACUGUACUGGUCAACUGCCAGCCAAGGAAAAUCAGGAGCCAUGAUCUUCCCACCCGCUGCCUGAUGGGAAAUGGAGUCUCUUUACAUGAAAAGUAAGAGGCCAGUCUCCCUGCCUCCUGCCCUUUGGGAAACGUAGUCCACGGCCUCUAAGUCCUACCUUCCGAUCUGAUGCUUCAGCUCUCAGUGCCAUAAAAGCCAAAGAAACAUGGCGAAAUUCACAUUGAGGUUGAAUGUUACUCCACAAAAUUGAGUUUCAGCACCAAAGGAGCCUGAACCCCUGGACCCACCUCCAGGCUCACUCACCACCACAUAAUCCUCCAUCGUAGUGUCCAGCAGCUCAAGGGAACUGAAGAAUGUCACCAGGGAGGGGACAACACCCUGUGCCGCCAUCGGGAUGGGCAUGGUGAUGAGCUCCCAAUCUCAGGAAAGAGUGAGGAGAACUCCACCUGCCUCCAGCGCUCUCCUAGGACUUCCUGUCAUCUGACUGUCAUCACUGCUCUCCCCUCAGCUCUCGAGGAGGAGCCAGCACAAAUCUCCUCCCAUUCCUGUCAUCCCUUGGACGGUAUCACCCCACCGUGAGGCCUGCACCACGUCAUCUCCCUCCAUUUCCCAGAGGAGGAGACCGAGGCCCACAGAGGGGCAGAGACUUGCUCAAGGACCCACUGAGGAGAGGCCACUCUCCGUCCCAGCCAGAGUCCCUGUCCCCACUGCCUUCACCCCUCGCCCUGCCCCACCACUGACCACGGUCCUGACCUCUGCACUCCCAGAGUGUGUCCCAACAAUAGCCAAACUGAGAUGUGGAGGGAGAGGGCAGAGGGUGUUGGUGGUGGCCGUGUGGCAUCUCCUUCCUGCCCCAUCCACAGGGGUCUCUGAACCCCAGGAUGGCCUUACCAUAGCCUCAGUUCCUAGGAUGCCCUCAGGAUGUUCCCGGCUCCCUCACACACCCCUCCUCCCAGAUCUCCAGCCCCAGGUUACCUUCAGGAGCAGUCUCAUGCUCACGUGCUGCUCUCCCCUGCACCACUUCUUAAAGGUGUAGGAUCUCUCCCUGGGGGAGUGGGGAAAGAAAGAAAGAAAGACUAUGGGAUGGUUGAAGGGCAAAUCCCAUUUGUUUUAGAUCCCAAAAGAUCCAAACAGCCUGGGGCCUGGAUGAGGGAUUUCACUGGGUUGCUCUGAGCCCCGAGGUCCCCAUGGGACUGGGGAGGGGCCUCUCCUGUUGUCACCUGGGGCCUCCAUUCCCAUAUCUACCACACAGAUCUGUUUUGAACACUCUUGGUUUCAGUUGGAUGGAGAUUUCUGUUGCUGCAAAGGAAAAACACUUGAGAAUCUCCAACUGGGCUCAAGUCAGGAUCUGAUAUUGAAGGAAAUGAGUUCCUGGGCAGAACCGCUGGCCUAAGGGCCCUGAGAGGCUCAGAGACCCAGGAACUGGAUCAGUCUGUGUCCCAGGCAUUCACUGUCUCCCAGGUGGUCUCAGCUGACUGCGGGGGCCAUGGCGACCCAUUGCCGGCUGCCAGGUCCACCUCCCCCUCGUGGUGCUUGGAUAGAGAGCAGCCUACCCACCUGGAUACUUGUCCCCAGGUGUCUUUGAGACGCUUAAUGGCAGGGCUCUGCAGAGCAGAAAGGAUCAUGUGU
ensembl:lncRNA